ensembl:lncRNA
AAACUAUAAUAAUAAUAAUAAUAAUAAUAACACUUUGCAAUGACAGACAAGAACAAAACCAAGCAAAAAAAGAAAGAGUAGACAAAAGAAACAGACGCUAAACACUAAAAUAAAAAUAAAAAUAAAUAAAAAAAGAACGGGAGAAAACAGCGUGGAAUGUAGUGGAGGGCGUUUAGGGGUCAGUGUUUGAAAGCGAGUUUGACCAGGUGGGUUUUGAGGGCUUGUUUGAAUGAUGAUACGGUGGGAUCCUGGUGGAUGUGGAUGCGGGGGCAGCAGCUGAGAAGGCCCUAGAGAAGUCUUUAGCAGACAGAAGACAACAACACACAAAGAGGAGAAUGAGCUCUGUGUCUUUGUCCUGAUGAAGAUAAUGAUGUGUGAGCUCUCCCAGCAGGUUGCUGUGAAGCUGUGGACUCUGCUAUGAAUCAGGCUGAGGACCCAGAGGACGGAGUCCGUCCCUCUGAAGCUCCUCUGUGUGGGGAACAUGACAGCCAGACCAAAGCUCAGAGGAUCCAUCAGAGGCCUGGGCCUGGAUCUGAUCCUGAACCUGGUCUACGACCUGUACCUGAACCCAGCUGUGUGUCCCUGAAGAGUAACCAGUCUAUGGAUCAACCUAUAGUCUUCAAAGAUGUUGGUCCCUCUGUUGAUGCAAGGUCACAUCAGCAGAGAGGAAAGUCUCCUGAACCCAGCUGUGUGUCCAUGAAGAGUAACCAGUCUAUGAUACAACCUAUAGUCUUCAAAGAUGGACCCUGUUCUUAUAAGUAAGUUCUUAAACAGAUUAAGAACUGUUCUGAUCCUCAUUUAUGAAUUACAAAAAUAUGUCUGCGUUAUUUAAUCUGCUGUUUCCAUGA